ACACUCCACAGACGUGGAUGAGUGGCAGGACGGAUGACUGACAGGUGUAAUGGAAUAACGAUUUACCACUCCGACGUCUGCGGGACCGCGUAAAUGGAGUGUGAGCCAGUCUCGAUACUCGUAAGCUCUUACGUGCGGCACGGUUUCACGGCUUCACUACCAAGCAUUUAUUCAACUCGGUCGUAGGACGCAAGAUUACUUUACUACUCGUAGGACGCACCGUGCGCAAAAAGUUCUGGCCCUCUUACAGUAAGCGCUCCUACGCUACGCGUGCUGCGGUUGUUUUCCGGGAAGCCAAUAGCCGCACGCAAUAUCUUCAAUGAUCCUGCUACACAGCCAGAUGUCGAACAAAGCAGACCAUUAACGGCCAGUCAUGGAGGCAGGCUAAACGUUACAUAGUCGUUGGAUACCCGCGCGCGGCGCGGCCGAAUCGGGCAUGACUGUUGAGCAGGUUGCGAUGAAAUUUGGAGCCCCCUGCGAACAAUUACGCGUAUCAAAGUCAAAUACCAAUACACUGAAAGCAUUUUUACACUCACAUCGCCGUAUUAACACCACCUAAAGGUGUAAAUAGCAGACUGAUCACUAUACGCAGGUCUAUAACACGGCAAUUACGCUUAGAAACUGAUCAAAGCGAAAUUACACCUCGUUGUUGUGCAAAUCACACUCAUACAACACCUUAUGGAAGUGCAAUUCUGAACUUUAACACCUAGCUUUUGUUCGUUUACGAAUAACACCUUCCUGUAGUGUAGAUGAUCGCGCUUCAUGUGUGCUGUGUUAUUGACAAAGGAUCCUUGAUCUGCGAUUGCCGCAUUUUUGUAUUGGCUCAACACUGCUCUGAAGUGUAAUGUACCGGACGGCAAAGGCGCAUGCGCGUGACGCCGCUCGCACCCACGUGGCUUUCAGUUUCAGUGCGCCAUUGUGCUUCAACGAACGUGGUUGUUAGUGUGCUGAGCUGGUGUGACUAUUGAGCAUUGAGGAAGACCCACCUGCUCCGGAACGGAGAAGGAACUCGAACACCUACUCGAGAUGCGUGAGGAGCAGGUCGUUUUUGGCCCUGCGACAACGAACGGACCGUCCACCAUCGCAGAUGGCGCACUUUGGGUCGAAAGGGAGAAGAUCGCAAAAUUCCAAACAAUGGCGAACAUGCAGGACGAACUGUAUGUACAUCAUGAACAUCGCUAUCUUUUUCGAGCGCGCUCGAAGGCGCUGGACUCGAACGCCUAGCCCCGGUUCAUAUAUGCAGAGGACUCGCCGUUUCAUGUACUUGUUGCACGGAUCAACGUCCAAUAAACGUUAAAAUAUUCUGACA